rnacentral:rRNA from 1 species
AGAGUUUGAUCCUGGCUCAGGACGAACGCUGGCGGCGCGCCUAACACAUGCAAGUCGAACGAGCAAAGAGGAGCUUGCUUCUCUGAGCGAGUGGCGAACGGGUGAGUAACGCGUGAGGAACCUGCCUCAAAGAGGGGGACAACAGUUGGAAACGACUGCUAAUACCGCAUAAGCCCACGGGUCGGCAUCGACCAGAGGGAAAAGGAGCAAUCCGCUUUGAGAUGGCCUCGCGUCCGAUUAGCUAGUUGGUGAGGUAAUGGCCCACCAAGGCGACGAUCGGUAGCCGGACUGAGAGGUUGAACGGCCACAUUGGGACUGAGACACGGCCCAGACUCCUACGGGAGGCAGCAGUGGGGAAUAUUGCACAAUGGGGGAAACCCUGAUGCAGCGACGCCGCGUGGAGGAAGAAGGUCUUCGGAUUGUAAACUCCUGUUGUUGAGGAAGAUAAUGACGGUACUCAACAAGGAAGUGACGGCUAACUACGUGCCAGCAGCCGCGGUAAAACGUAGUCACAAGCGUUGUCCGGAAUUACUGGGUGUAAAGGGAGCGCAGCGGGAAGACAAGUUGGAAGUGAAAUCCAUGGGCUCAACCCAUGAACUGCUUUCAAAACUGUUUUUUCUUGAGUAGUGCAGACGUAGGCCGAAUUCCCGGUGUAGCGGUGGAAUGCGUAGAUAUUCGGGAUGAACACUCGUGGCCGAGCGGCCUACCUGGGCACAACUUGACGCCUGAGGCUCGAAAGUGUGGGUAGGCAAACAGAUAGAAUACCCUGGUAGUCCACACCGUAAACGAUGAUUACUAGUGCUGGGAGGAUUGACCCUUCAUGGCCGCAGGUUAACACAAAUAAGUAAUCCACCUGGGGAGUACGACCGCAAGGUUGAAACUCAAAGGGAAUUGACGGGGGCCCGCACAAGCAGUGGAGUAUGUGGUUUAAUUCGACGCAACGCGAAGAACCUUACCAAGUCUUGACAUCCUGCGACGGACAUAGAAAUAUGUCUUUCCUUCGGGACGCAGAGACAGGUGGUGCAUGGUUGUCGUCAGCUCGUGUCGUGAGAUGUUGGGUUAAGUCCCGCAACGAGCGCAACCCUUAUGGUCAGUUACUACGCAAGAGGACUCUGGCCAGACUGCCGUUGACAAAACGGAGGAAGGUGGGGAUGACGUCAAAUCAUCAUGCCCUUUAUGACUUGGGCUACACACGUACUACAAUGGCGUUAAACAAAGAGAAGCAAGACCGCGAGGUGGAGCAAAACUCAGAAACAACGUCCCAGUUCGGACUGCAGGCUGCAACUCGCCUGCACGAAGUCGGAAUUGCUAGUAAUCGUGGAUCAGCAUGCCACGGUGAAUACGUUCCCGGGCCUUGCACACACCGCCCGUC